rnacentral:sRNA from 1 species
GCUGGGCGUGGUGGCACAUGCCUAUAAUCCCAGCAUCUCAGGAGGCUGAGGCAGGAGGAUCGCUUCAGUAAAAGCAAAGGGCUAAGCACAGUGACACCCUGUUUCUA